GCUCGAUUAUCGUCCACGUCCGCGGACCGGUUCUCGCUCGCGGAUCCUCCUAAAUCAAGAAAACGACAUAAUUAUUUUCCUUAAAUUAGAAUUAGGACUAAAUUUAUGCAAUAAACUCGAAACGAACAUCUAUCCAUAAUUUACAACUCCCGUGUCGGUAAAAUUAUUAAAAUGCCCUCGAGUCCGUAAAUCAUUAAAAUACUUCGAAAUCUUAAAUCACCAAAUUACCCUCGGAAUCGUAAUUACAUCCAACCCUCAAUUUCAAGAAUUACUAAAAUAUCCACAUGCUCAGAAAUUACAAAAUUGCCCUCAUAGCGUGAAAUUACCGAAAUGCCCUUGCCGGUCAACGGCCACUGGAAUUUAGUCAACGCUGGCUGGAAAGCUCAAGUCUGAAAGUUCCAAUCACACUGAGUUCAAUGGUACCGGCGGUGAGCUCCAAUGCGCGGCAACGACGCCGGAAUCUAGCUCGACAGCCGUGAGUUUCCACCAAUUGGCCGACGGCGAAACAGUGACUCCCGGUGCCUAUGGAUAGUCGGAAAUGGAAGAGGAAGUUAUGAGGAACAAAAUCCAACCGGUGGUCUCACCCAAAACCGGCGAAAAUCCCGGCAAAAUAAAGCGAAACAGUCGCGGGUUUUCAAGCUUCGAUCGCCGGCGUUCCGGUUGGUUUUCGGCGGCAAGGAUGGUAGGGGAACGACGGCCAGCUUCUAAGCUUUAGAUUGGUACCAAGCUUGACUGGAACGAUGGUCGAAAAUGGGAGAUAUGGUCGGGUCACGUUCGCGGGUCGGGUCAGGUUUUCGGGUUUGUAGUUCGGUCGGUUUGGCAGCUUCUCUCUCACUCUCUCACUCUCUCACACGUGUAUCUCUGUUUUUGCUCUGUUUUUCCAGCUUCUUCUUUUGCUUUUACUAACUUCUUAACUGCCUCUUUUUGUUUAUUCAUUUUUAAUUUCUACAUAUGUUACAGAUUGCCCUAUUUUAUCACUUGUUUGUGACUGAUUUUGGGUUAAUGAAUAAAAAACCACAAAACCAACCCAAGAGCAAUAAAUUUAUAUUUUUGUCGGGGAGUGGGGUACCUCGUUUGUUCAGCACGUGUGGGCUAUUUAGGAUUUUUGUGGAGUGAAGGAGGAUUGAGAUGACGGUGGUUAUGGAGGGGAUCUGACUUUAGGUGCGGAGGUGAAACUCACCUUAAACCUGCGAAAUAACCAAAAAAGAGGUCAGAGGUGGAGCCGGGGGUGGCCGCUAACCACACUCCGACGCUCAAGUCAGAGUUGAGUUAUCUCAGGUUAGAGAGCUUGCAAGCUCUCGGUAAUGGAGGUUUUGAGGUUGAAGAAACCCUAGUUUUUCCUGGUGAGUCUGUUAACUUACUUGAUAAAAAUCAAACCUGAGUAUUUAUAUGGUGUACCCUGGUCGCCGUGCCACCUGGCGCUAUUUUAGUGGCGUUCCCUGUUGUCAUGUCAGGAAUAUUCUUAUUUUCAUGCGUAUGGCGGCUUAGACGCUUCAAAAAUAUGAGUGGAGAGCAAGUUUGUGGCGUAUUCACAUGUUGGGCAUAGUGGAGUGGUCUCGCGUACCUCUGCAAUUCCGUUGUAAUUUUGCAGGCGUAGCAGGAAAAGCUGGUGGUCCCAACUGUCACAAUAUCACACUUUUGGCGGGUUCGCUGGCGUGACAGGCGGCUGUCUCCUCUUUUGCAACACGAGAUUUCCUUAUUUUUUGACACGUAUCAGACCGAUCGUUUUGAGAUUUGGGGCCCACAUAUCCAUUUACAUAUUUACGAAGACUUUUGUAUCAUUUCAUGGUGUACCCGAGGUACCCCCGGAGUGCUUAAGGUAGCCGGGGUACCUAGGGUACCCAAGGUACCCGAGAUAAAUUAAUCUCUUAGAUAUCGACACGUGGCGCUUCAUCAUUGGCCUCAUAUUUCCUUCCCAAAAAUCACUCAAACAUUAAUCCCCUAGUUUCUAGUAUUAAGAGUGUAACAAAACAACACUGGAAACUAUAAUACAAGUGUAAAAAAUCGCCCAUUCUAACUAAUAUUACUCACUAGGCCUGCGCCAUUCUCCAACUUUUUGUGUGUUAUCCCCAUAUCUCUUCCUUGCCAGAGUUCAAGUUGCCCUGCCAGAAUGGUCUAAAAGAAGGAUAUUGAGGACAUCGAAGGCCGUACCCUUGUUGAACUGAUGAAUGCCUUUUGGCUUGCGUGAGGCAUUCUUCCCUUUUUCGAAAAAUGACAAGUUCAGAAUGCCUUUUCAGAAGUUCCCUUUUUUGAAGAAUGCCUUUAAGGAGGAGGCAUUCUUGUGGUGGUAAUUAUGAUAGAAAUGUCAAUUUCUGAGCUAUGGUUGCCAUGUUUACUGUGCCAUACAUAACUUUAGUUGCUUGCUGCUAGCUCAUAAUAAUUAGUAAUCUUGUUUCACAUGCGCAUUGAAUCGUAUAUACUAAUAGCAAUAUUUACGAAACUAAUAUAAAAACUCAUUCCCUCGAAAAUUAAAACAAGAU
rnacentral:lncRNA from 1 species